GAGUGAACGCUGGCGGUCGGCCUAACACAUGCAAGUCGAACGGCAGCACAGUAAGAGCUUGCUCUUACGGGUGGCGAGUGGCGGACGGGUGAGGAAUACAUCGGAAUCUACUUUUUCGUGGGGGAUAACGUAGGGAAACUUACGCUAAUACCGCAUACGACCUACGGGUGAAAGCAGGGGAUCUUCGGACCUUGCGCGAUUGAAUGAGCCGAUGUCGGAUUAGCUAGUUGGCGGGGUAAAGGCCCACCAAGGCGACGAUCCGUAGCUGGUCUGAGAGGAUGAUCAGCCACACUGGAACUGAGACACGGUCCAGACUCCUACGGGAGGCAGCAGUGGGGAAUAUUGGACAAUGGGCGCAAGCCUGAUCCAGCCAUACCGCGUGGGUGAAGAAGGCCUUCGAGUUGUAAAGCCCUUUUGUUGGGAAAGAAAAGCAGCAGGUUAAUACCCCGCUGUUCCGACGGUACCCAAAGAAUAAGCACCGGCUAACUUCGUG
rnacentral:rRNA from 1 species